rnacentral:rRNA from 1 species
GAUGAACGCUAGCUACAGGCUUAACACAUGCAAGUCGAGGGGCAGCGCAGUGUAGCAAUACACGGGCGGCGACCGGUGCACGGGUGCGUAACGCGUAUCCAACCUUCCCGUUACUCAGGGAUAGCCUUCCGAAAGGGAGAUUAAUACCUGAUGGUGUUCAAAUUCCGCAUGUUAUUUGAACUAAAGAUUCAUCGGUAACGGAUGGGGAUGCGUGACAUUAGAUAGUAGGCGGGGUAACGGCCCACCUAGUCUACGAUGUCUAGGGGUUCUGAGAGGAAGGUCCCCCACACUGGAACUGAGACACGGUCCAGACUCCUACGGGAGGCAGCAGUGAGGAAUAUUGGUCAAUGGUCGGAAGACUGAACCAGCCAAGUAGCGUGAAGGAUGAAGGUUCUAUGGAUUGUAAACUUCUUUUAUACGGGAAUAAAACCUCCCACGUGUGGGAGCUUGUAUGUACCGUAUGAAUAAGCAUCGGCUAACUCCGUGCCAGCCGCCGCAGUAAAAC